UAGUACCUAGAAGGUCUAAAUAUUUUUCCGACACUUUGAUAUAAGGGAAUCCGGACGUACCACUAACAGUGUGAAUACUGGUAUUUAUAUCAGAAUCCCAGAAAUUAGUGAACAGGAUACCCACCUGUAAGAAACAGGGACAAUAUAUCACCCUUCUGGGUCUUUU
rnacentral:other from 1 species